CAUUGAAAUACUACCCGAUGGUGACUGCGACUCUCACUCCUGGCGGAGGACACUGGUAGCCGGGCAGUUUGACUGGGGCGGUACGCGCCUGAAAAGAUAUCGGGCGCGCCCCAAGAUUUCCUCACCCGCGUCGGAGACGCGGGAAAGAGCGCAAGAGCAUAAGGAAGUCUGACAGUGUCCGGCACAACGACGGACGCUGACGCGAAAGCGUGGUCUAGCGAACCAAUUAGGCUGCUUGAUGCGGCCAAUUGCUGACAGAAAAGCUACCUUAGGGAUAACAGAGUCGUCACUCGCAAGAGCACAUAUCGACCGAGUGGCUUGCUACCUCGAUGUCGGUUCCCUCCAUCCUGCCCGUGCAGAAGCGGGCAAGGGUGAGGUUGUUCGCCUAUUAAAGGAGGUCGUGAGCUGGGUUUAGACCGUCGUGAGACAGGUCGGCUGCUAUCUAUUGGGGGUGUUACGGUAUCUGACGGGAACGUUCGUAUAGUACGAGAGGAACUACGAAUGGGUGCCACUGGUGUACCAGCUGUUCGAAAGAGCACGUGCUGGGCAGCCACGCACCACGGGGUAAGAGCUGAACGCAUCUAAGCUCGAAACCCACCUGAAAAAGAGAUACCACCGAGAUCACUCGUAGAAGACGAGUUCGAUAGACUCGGGGUGUACGCGCCAAGGCAACGAGGCGUUGAGCCCGCGAGCACUAACCGAUCGAGCCACACACUCA
rnacentral:rRNA from 1 species